rnacentral:rRNA from 1 species
GACGAACGCUGGCGGCGUGCUUAACACAUGCAAGUCGAACGGUGAAGCUCCAGCUUGCUGGAGUGGAUCAGUGGCGAACGGGUGAGUAACACGUGAGCAACCUGCCCCAGACUCUGGAAUAAGCGCUGGAAACGGCGUCUAAUACUGGAUACGAGAUCAAGCCGCAUGGUUAUGGUCUGGAAAGUUUUUCGGUUUGGGAUGGGCUCGCGGCCUAUCAGCUUGUUGGUGAGGUAAUGGCUCACCAAGGCGACGACGGGUAGCCGGCCUGAGAGGGCGACCGGCCACACUGGGACUGAGACACGGCCCAGACUCCUACGGGAGGCAACAGUGGGGAAUAUUGCACAAUGGGCGAAAGCCUGAUGCAGCGACGCCGCGUGAGGGAUGACGGCCUUCGGGUUGUAAACCUCUUUCAGCAGGGAAGAAGCGAAAGUGACGGUACCUGCAGAAGAAGCACCGGCUAACUACGUG